rnacentral:rRNA from 1 species
GACGAACGCUGGCGGCGUGCUUAACACAUGCAAGUCGAACGGAAAGGCCCUGCUUUUGUGGGGUGCUCGAGUGGCGAACGGGUGAGUAACACGUGAGUAACCUGCCCUUGACUUUGGGAUAACUUCAGGAAACUGGGGCUAAUACCGGAUAGGAGCUCCUGCUGCAUUGUGGGGGUUGGAAAGUUUCGGCGGUUGGGGAUGGACUCGCGGCUUAUCAGCUUGUUGGUGGGGUAGUGGCUUACCAAGGCUUUGACGGGUAGCCGGCCUGAGAGGGUGACCGGCCACAUUGGGACUGAGAUACGGCCCAGACUCCUACGGGAGGCAGCAGUGGGGAAUAUUGCACAAUGGGCGGAAGCCUGAUGCAGAAACGCCGCGUGCGGGAUGACGGCCUUCGGGUUGUAAACCGCUUUCGCCUGUGACGAAGCGUGAGUGACGGUAAUGGGUAAAGAAGCACCGGCUAACUACGUG